AAGACCUUACUUCAUAGGAUCAUUUCUAUAGUAAGCUCUUCACGAGAUCUACACACUACGUGAGAUCGUACCAGCCGUGUUGAUGAGACGUGGCGCGGCGUCCUGAGCGUGAGGCGGACGACGGCUUCCGGCCGCCAGUCCUCGAUGAUCGUUCACCUCCACCAGUGGGAGAGGCGUGGGACGCUGUCGCUGUCUGAGCGGU
rnacentral:snoRNA from 1 species